CCUACGGGAGGCAGCAGUGGGGAAUAUUGGACAAUGGGCGAAAGCCUGAUCCAGCAAUGCCGCGUGAGUGAAGAAGGCCUUCGGGUUGUAAAGCUCUUUUACCCGGGAAGAUAAUGACUGUACCGGGAGAAUAAGCCCCGGCUAACUCCGUGCCAGCAGCCGCGGUAAUACGGAGGGGGCUAGCGUUGUUCGGAAUUACUGGGCGUAAAGCGUACGUAGGCGGCCAUUCAAGUCAGAGGUGAAAGCCCGGGGCUCAACUCCGGAAUUGCCUUUGAAACUAGGUGGCUUGAACACGGGAGAGGUGAGUGGAAUUCCGAGUGUAGAGGUGAAAUUCGUAGAUAUUCGGAAGAACACCAGUGGCGAAGGCGGCUCACUGGACCGUUGUUGACGCUGAGGUACGAAAGCGUGGGGAGCAAACAGGAUUAGAUACCCUGGUAGUCCACGCCGUAAACGAUGAGAACUAGCUGUCAGGGCUCUUAGAGCUUUGGUGGCGCAGCUAACGCAUUAAGUUCUCCGCCUGGGGAGUACGGCCGCAAGGUUAAAACUCAAAUGAAUUGACGG
rnacentral:rRNA from 1 species